rnacentral:rRNA from 1 species
UACGUAGGGGGCUAGCGUUGUCCGGAUUUAUUGGGCGUAAAGAGCGUGUAGGCGGCCAGGUAGGUCUGGUGUGAAAACUCGAGGCUUAACCUCGGGUCUGCAGUCGAUACGGGCUAGCUAGAGUGUGGUAGGGGAGAUCGGAAUUCCUGGUGUAGCGGUGAAAUGCGCAGAUAUCAGGAGGAACACCCGUGGCUAAGGCGGCUCUCUAGUACGGUACUGACGCUGAGACGCGAAAGCGUGGGGAGCGAACAGG